rnacentral:rRNA from 1 species
GACGAACGCUGGCGGCGUGCUUAACACAUGCAAGUCGAACGAUGAAGCCUAGCUUGCUAGGUGGUUUAGUGGCGAACGGGUGAGUAAUACGUGAGUAACCUACCUUUUACUCUUUGAUAAGCCCGGGCGACUGGGUCUAAUACCGGAUACGACCUAUCUCCGCCUGGGGUGUUGGUGGAAAGCGUUAUGUAGUGGUUAUAGAUGGGCCCACGGCCUAUCUGCUUGUUGGUGAGGUAACGGCUCACCAAGGCGACGACGGGUAGCCGGCCUGAGAGGGUGACCGGCCACACUGGGACUGAGACACGGCCCAGACUCCUACGGGAGGCAGCAGUGGGGAAUAUUGCACAAUGGGCGCAAGCCUGAUGCAGCGACGCCGCGUGCGGGAUGACGGCCUUCGGGUUGUAAACCGCUGUUGGCAGGGAAGAAGAGGGAUUGACGGUACCUGCAGAGAAAGCGCCGGCUAACUACGUG